UCGCCGGAGCCGGAUGAGGAUUCCAUUUCGGUGCGUAACUCCUUUUAUAUGAGAAGAGAAUGACGGUAUCAUAUGAAUAAGCACCGGCUAAGUCCGUGCCAGCAGCCGCGGUAAUACGGGGGGUGCAAGCGUUACUCGGAAUCACUGGGCGUAAAGAGCAUGUAGGCGGAUAGAUAAGUUGGAAGUGAAAUCCUAUGGCUUAACCAUAGAACUGCUUCCAAAACUGUCUAUCUAGAAUAUGGGAGAGGUAGAUGGAAUUUCUGGUGUAGGGGUAAAAUCCGUAGAGAUCAGAAGGAAUACCGAUUGCGAAGGCGAUCUACUGGAACAUUAUUGACGCUCAGAUGCGAAAGCGUGGGGAGCAAACAGGAUUAGAUACCCUGGUAGUCCACGCCCUAAACGAUGCACACUAGUUGUUGCCUUGCUAGACAAGGCAGUAAUGCAGUUAACACAGUAAGUGUGCCGCCUGGGGAGUACGGUCGCAAGAUUAAAACUCAAAGGAAUAGACGGGGACCCGCACAAGCGGUGGAGCAUGUGGUUUAAUUCGACGAUACGCGAAGAACCUUACCUGGCCUUGACAUAGAAAGAACUUACUAGAGAUAGUUUGGUGCUAGCUUGCUAGAACUUUCAUACAGGUGCUGCACGGCUGUCGUCAGCUCGUGUCGAGAGAUGUUGGGUUAAGUCCCGCAACGAGCGCCACCCUCGUGUUUAGUUACUAACAGUUUCGGCUGAAGACUCUAGACAGACCGCCUACCCCAAUAGGAGGAAGGGGGAGGACGACGUCCAGUCCCCGUGGCCCCCUUACCGCCGGGGCCAACACCCGUGCCUACAAUGGGGGCACACAAAAGACCCCCAAUGCCGGGUACCGUGGAGACAAAUCCCCCAAAAAGGCCCCCCCCCCUCCCGGAAUGGUAGCCCGCGAACCCGGCCGUGCGAGAGAGGUCGGAGCCCGCCCGAGCAACC
rnacentral:rRNA from 1 species